CAUUCUAUGUUAGAGGAUAAGUUUUCUUCCCUUGCGAAAGAGCUUUACAACCCGAAGGCCUUCUUCACUCACGCGGAAUGGCUGGAUCAGGCUUGCGCCCAUUGUCCAAAAUUCCCCACUGCUGCCUCCCGUAGG
rnacentral:rRNA from 1 species